UACGUAGGGUGCAAGCGUUAAUCGGAAUUACUGGGCGUAAAGCGUGCGCAGGCGGUUAUGUAAGACAGGUGUGAAAUCCCCGGGCUUAACCUGGGAACUGCAUUUGUGACUGCAUAGCUAGAGUACGGUAGAGGGGGAAGAGUCGACUCGUGUAGCAGUGAAAUGCGUAGAUAUGCGGAGGAACACCGAUGGCGAAGGCAAUCCCCUGGACCUGUACUGACGCUCAUGCACGAAAGCGUGGGGAGCAAACAGG
rnacentral:rRNA from 1 species